rnacentral:rRNA from 1 species
AGAGUUUGAUCCUGGCUCAGAUUGAACGCUGGCGGCAGGCCUAACACAUGCAAGUCGAGCGGUUGAGGUAGCUUGCUACCGAUGCAGCGGCGGACGGGUGAGUAAUACAUGGGAAUCANCCUGGUAGUGGGGGACAACGUUUCGAAAGGAACGCUAAUACCGCAUACGCCCUACGGGGGAAAGGGGGGGAUCUUCGGACCUCUCGCUAUCAGAUGAGCCCAUGUCGGAUUAGCUUGUUGGUGAGGUAAAGGCUCACCAAGGCGACGAUCCGUAACUGGUCUGAGAGGAUGAUCAGUCACACUGGAACUGAGACACGGUCCAGACUCCUACGGGAGGCAGCAGUGGAGAAUCUUGGACAAUGGGCGCAAGCCUGAUCCAGCCAUGCCGCGUGUGUGAAGAAGGCCUUAGGGUUGUAAAGCACUUUCAGUGGGGAGAAAGGUCAUUCACCUAAUACGUGAGUGAAUUGAUGUUACCCACAGAAGAAGCACCGGCUAACUCCGUGCCAGCAGCCGCGGUAAUAAUCA